GUAGAAGAUGUUGGCCUUGAAUUUUCAUUU
rnacentral:piRNA from 1 species